GCCUGGGUGGCUCAGUCGGUUGAGCAUCCAACUUCGGCUCAGGUCAUGAUCUCACAGUUCGUGGGUUCAAGCCCCGCAUCGGGCU
rnacentral:tRNA from 1 species